CUCUUUCUUUUUCCUAGAAGGGCGUCUUUCCUUUAUUUUUUUUCCUGUUGCCAAAGAUGACCAUGAUGAAAAUACGUUUCCCACCCCUUUGCUCUGAUGGUGAAACAAACAAACGACUAUUCAAUUCUGGGAACAAAUGGAAAACUACGGAAGUACGCUAUUUUUUUUAAUUAACCAAAAUACCUAUUUCCAUAAUUUUAUGGAAAUGAAACAAACACGCCGAUGAACGAAAGAAAAUUACGGAUGUCCAACUGAGCCGAGCUCAACAACUGAACGGUAAUGGCGCUGAGAAUCGAAGAAAUGCGAAGAUCACACUGGAACAGAAUGGCGGAAACCUACCACCCUCUCUCAUUUAGUGGAAAGUUAUAGCAAAAUGAACUUGUGCAUCAGUAUGGAAAUUGGCCGAGAGUCACUUGAGGAGCAAACAUCAAUGGUUUGAGGUUGAUGCAUGAAUAUCAGAUAUGAACUUGUGUCACAAUACUCCUCCUUGGUCUCAGACUUACAAACCUGAGGAGCAAUUCAAUAUCUUUAGCAUAUAUUCCAAGAUAUCAAAUUCCAUAUUAUAAAUGCCUGUCCACACUCUCAGUUGAUAGUGUCAAGAAUGUUCAAGAAAGAAAAAGAAAGGAGAUAGUAUGACUGGAGCAGAAAGUAAGAACAUGGAGAAGGCGAUUCAUGAAGAAGAUUCUUCCAGUUCUGGUAAUGCAGUGAAGGGGCCAACAUCAACAUUUAUUCCUAUUGCACAGCUCAUAUGAAAGUAGUCAAUCUCUUUGCCAUGUGAUAAUCUGUACUCCAUGAAAAAAAUUGAGAAGAAAUUGAAAGUAAGAAAUUAAUUCUAUUUUUUUAUACUAUAUAUCAGUUACAUUUGGGUUACAGAAAACGUGGGGCAAAUGUAUAUAAUGCAGGAAAGAAAGAUUACUCGUCUUCAGAUGGUUGAUCACUUUGGGAAGAUAAUCAACGACGACGCUGUAUUUGUGUCCAACAUCAGAGCUCACAAAAAAAGAGAGUUACUUGAGGAGCAAAAAUCAAUGGACCGAGGUAGAUGCAUGAAUACCGCACAUGAACUUGUGUCACAUUAGACCUCCUUGGUCUCUAGAUUGCAAGCUUGAGGAGUAAUUCUGGAGUUUAGCAUAUAUGUCAAGAUUUCAAUUCAUGCUGUAAAGACCUAUGCACACUCUCUCUUGGUGCCAUCCAAAAUAUUCAAGAAAAUAUAAAAAAGAAAGAAAGAAAAAUUACUCGUCGUCAGAUAGUUGAUAACUUGAGGAAGAUGAUCGUCGACGAUGUUUUACUGGUGUCCACCAUCAAAGUUUACAACAAAUUAAGAGCGGAUUGUGGCAUCAGUCGUGAAAAACUGAUGUGGAAUGAUGCGCGAUACGUGAUGACGAGUGGCUAAUCUUGAUCGAAAAAUUUAAAAUAAGAAAAAGAAGUUUUUAAUCCCCCUUCAUGCAUCUCUUCUUGUUUCCUUAGUUAUGUUAAAUUGACCUCGUUGAUGCCGGUUAACAAAAUGGAAUUAGUAUGGCCGGAGCUGGAAAUAAGAAAAUGGAAAAAGCAAUUCGUGAAGAAAGUCCAACCCAGUUCUAGUGGGCCGACUUCACCUUUUAUAUAUUCCAACUUCAAAACAGCCAAAUUAUCUCACGCUCUCUCACUCGAUAAAUUAAAUAUGCUCCAUCGAGAAGGACUUAAAGGGGUGAAAAAUCACUCGUCGUCAGAUGGUUAAUCUUGUAAGGAAGACAGUAAAUGAUGACGACUUGCUUAUUCCCGUUAUCAAACAUUAUAUAAUAAUAAAGAGGUUCAAGAAUGGCGAGUGAGAUGUGAUUGGGAAGGAA